rnacentral:tRNA from 1 species
AGCGAGGUGGGGAAGCCAGGUCAUCCCGGCGGGCUCAUAACCCGCAGACCGGUGGUUCGAAUCCACCCCUCGCUA